rnacentral:rRNA from 1 species
AGCGAACGCUGGCGGCGUGCCUAACACAUGCAAGUCGAACGUGAAAAGGGAAACCUGAGUAAAGUGGCGUACGGGUGAGUCACGCGUAGGUAAUCUACCCCAGCAUCUGGAAUAACCUGCCGAAAGGCGGGCUAAUACUGGAUAGAGCGAGGGAACUCGUAAGAGAGUUUUUCGGGAAAGGGAGCCCGCAAGGGCCUUCGUUCUGGGAUGAGCCUGCGUCUCAUUAGCUAGUUGGUAAGGUAACGGCUUACCAAGGCGAUGAUGAGUAGCUGGUCUGAGAGGAUGAUCAGCCACACUGGAACUGAAACACGGUCCAGACUCCUACGGGAGGCAGGAGUGGGGGAACUUGCGGAAUGGACGAAAGUCUGACGCAGCCACGCCGCGGGAGGGAAGAAGGCCUUCGGGUUGGAAAGCUCUGUCGGAUGGGACGAACAUCUUCAUAGUGAAUAGCUAUGAGGACUGACGGUACCAUCAAAGGAAGCACCGGCUAACUCCGUG